UACGUAGGUGGCAAGCGUUGUCCGGAAUUAUUGGGCGUAAAGCGCGCGCAGGUGGUUCCUUAAGUCUGAUGUGAAAGCCCACGGCUCAACCGUGGAGGGUCAUUGGAAACUGGUGAACUUGAGUGCAGAAGAGGAAAGUGGAAUUCCAAGUGUAGCGGUGAAAUGCGUAGAGAUUUGGAGGAACACCAGUGGCGAAGGCGACUUUCUGGUCUGUAACUGACGCUGAGGCGCGAAAGCGUGGGGAGCAAACAGG
rnacentral:rRNA from 1 species